CCUACGGGUGGCAGCAGUGAGGAAUAUUGGUCAAUGGGCGCUAGCCUGAACCAGCCAAGUAGCGUGAAGGAUGCCUGCCCUAUGGGUUGUAAACUUCUUUUAUAUGGGAAUAAAGUGCUGCAUGUAUACUGCUUUGCAUGUACCUUAUGAAUAAGGCUCGGCUAACUCCGUGCCAGCAGCCGCGGUCAUACGGAGGAUCCGAGCGUUAUCCGGAUUUAUUGGGUUGAAAGGGAGCGUAGGCGGAUUGUUAAGUCAGUUGUGAAAGUUUGCGGCUCAACCGUAAAAUUGCAGUUGAGACUGGCAGACUUGAGUACAGUAGAGGUGGGCGGAAUUCGUGGUGUAGCGGUGAAAUGCUUAGAGAUCACGAAGAACACCGAUUGCGAAGGCAGCCUGCUGGACUGUAACUGACGCUGAUGCUCGAAAGUGUGGGUAUCAAACAGGAUUAGAUACCCGUGUAGUC
rnacentral:rRNA from 1 species